UACGUAGGGUGCGAGCGUUAAUCGGAAUUACUGGGCGUAAAGGGUGCGUAGGCGGUUUGAUAAGUCUGAUGUGAAAUCCCCGGGCUCAACCUGGGAACGGCAUUGGAGACUGUCAAGCUAGAGUGCGUCAGAGGGGGGUAGAAUUCCACGUGUAGCAGUGAAAUGCGUAGAGAUGUGGAGGAAUACCGAUGGCGAAGGCAGCCCCCUGGGACGACACUGACGCUGAAGCACGAAAGCGUGGGGAGCAAACAGG
rnacentral:rRNA from 1 species